AAAGUCGUAACAAGGUUUCCGUAGGUGAACCUGCGGAAGGAUCAUUACCGAGAGGGGGUUCUGCCCCGCAUCUUUCCACCCUUUGUGUAUCUUCCACCGUUGCUUUGGCGGGUCUCGGGCACGGCCGCCCGGCGCUGGCUCCUUCCAGGGGGGGUUCGCGAGCGCCCGUCAGGAGCCUAUCUUACUAAAAUCGCUUCAAAAAUCUAUGUCGUCUGAGAACAUGAACAAUCAAUCAAAACUUUCAACAACGGAUCUCUUGGUUCUG
rnacentral:misc_RNA from 1 species